rnacentral:rRNA from 1 species
AUUGAACGCUGGCGGCAUGCCUUACACAUGCAAGUCGAACGGCAGCACGGACUUCGGUCUGGUGGCGAGUGGCGAACGGGUGAGUAAUAUAUCGGAACAUACCCUGUAGUGGGGGAUAACUAUCCGAAAGGAUAGCUAAUACCGCAUACGAUCUAAGGAUGAAAGCGGGGGAUCUUCGGACCUCGUGCUAUAAGAGUGGCCGAUAUCUGAUUAGCUAGUUGGUGAGGUAAAGGCUCACCAAGGCGACGAUCAGUAGCUGGUCUGAGAGGACGACCAGCCACACUGGAACUGAGACACGGUCCAGACUCCUACGGGAGGCAGCAGUGGGGAAUUUUGGACAAUGGGGGCAACCCUGAUCCAGCAAUGCCGCGUGAGUGAAGAAGGCCUUCGGGUUGUAAAGCUCUUUUGUCAGGGAAGAAACGGUUGUGGCUAAUAUCCAUGGCUAAUGACGGUACCUGAAGAAUAAGCACCGGCUAACUACGUGCCAGCCGCCGCGGUAAUAC